rnacentral:rRNA from 1 species
UUGCAUUUGCAGAUGGACCAUUCAAGUUUCUAGCCCCAUCAGCUUGACGGUAGGGUAUUGGCCUACCGAGGCAGCAACGGGUAACGGGGAAUUAGGGUUCGAUUCCGGAGAGGGAGCCUGAGAAACGGCUACCACAUCUAAGGAAGGCAGCAGGCGCGCAA